UAUAAGAUGGCUGUCACCCCAAGAUGGAGUU
rnacentral:piRNA from 1 species